rfam:Schistosoma margrebowiei strain Zambia genome assembly, scaffold: SMRZ_scaffold0004141
AGCCUUCCGAAUCGGUGGCGAGAUUUCGUCAGAUACCAGACCAUUAUGGCUGGUGAGACUUCCAAGAUAAGUGGAGCA